UACAGAGGGGGCAAGCGUUGUCCGGAUUUACUGGGCGUACAGCGCGCGCAGGCGGUUGCGUAUGUGAGCGGUGACAUCCGCGGGCUCAACCCGCGGCGGCCCGCUUACACAGCGCGACUGGAGGCAGGGAGAGGGAUGUGGAAUACCCGGUGGAGCGGUGAAAUGCGUAGAGAUCGGGUGGAACACCAGCGGCGAAGGCGGCUUUCUGGGCCUUACCUGACGCUGAGGAGCGAAAGCGUGGGGAGCGAACAGG
rnacentral:rRNA from 1 species